CAGCUUUCAAGCAACUCUGUCCCCAAAACUACUUAACAGAGGCACUUCCUUCCAGCUGGAUCAUUUAAUGGCAUAAUGUGAAGGCAAGAUCCACAGAAGUGGGUUUGGAGGAGGGACUUGAAGGAGAAAAUGCAGAUCAUCAUGGGAAGACUAUGGGAAAUUGCACCCAGAUGGGAGAACUGCCCCCAAGGGGAGGGUGAGGAGGAGCUCUGCUUCAGCAAGAGUGGCUACUUCACAUUUGGGAUUCUGAGUAUGACUUGCCUGAAGAGUGCAGGACCUCUGAGAUCGUGUGACACAGAUGAGGAAGUCCCAUCCUACCUCCUCGGAGCAGGCCUUGGGUGUGAUGGCCUCCUCGGUUGCACAUGAUGUUCCACACAGAGCUCUUCCUCUUCUGCUCACACACAGUGAUGCAUCCACCCCUCACUCCCAUCCCAUGCCAGCAAAUACAAGGCCUUGGAUGUUGUUGCUGAAAAAGGAUAACUUAUUAAAAUAAAGUCACAUCAAUCCUGAUGGGAUUAACAGCUUGCUAUAGAAUUUUCCCGAAUUGAAGAACUGUAAUUCUGAGCUUAAUGUACUUCAAAAGUACCAAAUUGCAUUAAAGGAAAAAGAAUAAAUUCAUGCACAGUGAGACUGAAGAAUGGA
rnacentral:lncRNA from 1 species